UACGUAGGGACCAAGCGUUGUCCGGAAUCAUUGGGCGUAAAGAGCGUGUAGGCGGCUUGUUAAGUCUUGCGUGAAAUCUCGGGGCUCAACCCCGAGCGGUCGUGAGAAACUGGCAGGCUAGAGUGCGGGAGAGGAGAGUGGAAUUCCUGGUGUAGCGGUGAAAUGCGCAGAUAUCAGGAAGAACACCCGUGGCGAAGGCGGCUCUCUGGACAGUUCCUGACACUGAGACACGAAGGCCAGGGGAGCAAACGGG
rnacentral:rRNA from 1 species